CAAAAUAUAGCUUAACUAAAGCAUCUCGCUUACACCGAGAAAAUAUCUGUGAAACCCAGAUUAUUUUGA
rnacentral:tRNA from 1 species